rnacentral:tRNA from 1 species
GCGGGCGUGGUGAAACGGUAGACACGCCGGCUUUAGGUGCCGGUGGGCGAAAGCUCGUGUGGGUUCGACUCCCUCCGCCCGCA